UAAAGAAAAAAAGAACUCUAACCAGCCAAGAUGCUGGCCCAAAGCAAGAGGAAGACAGAAAGGAGGUGGAGGAAAUCAUAAAUAUCACGUAUUGCUGGAUGAUUGUAACAAGAAUUUAGAGGCUUGGCCUGCAGAUCCCUAACAGGCCAUGUUAUUUCUCCUCUGCAAUACCCACUUGGCAUUCCUGUCUUGACGCCAGCCAAUUAUGGACUGAAACCUCUACAAACUAAGACAAAGUCAAGAACACUUUAACCUGAUGGUAGGCACCUUCUUUCUCAUCCUUACCUCCAAAGAGGCUGAAAAAGGUAUUUCUGAAUACUUUGGAACCAAGAGCAUUUUCUGCAUUGCUACUAAAGGAUAUAAUUUUUACCUGGA